rnacentral:lncRNA from 1 species
CAUUUAAAUUCUCCCUCGCCAUGCUCGUCCGAAUUUAAAACAUUUCUUUACUAAAUCCUUGGUAUAAUAAAUAAAACAAAACUCUAGAUAUAGGUUUAGUUGCUCGCAGUAACUUCGUUUUUCUUUUCUAGUAAGCAAUGUUUAAUAACAUUAUAAACCAACAUAUUAUAAAUACAAACACAUUUGUCCAAUACAUUUAAAUGGACUAUAAUUAAACAAUUCAUAAUCAUAUAUAUGUACACAUUCUUAUGACACAAUAAACUGCAAAAACUGUCGUAGUUACUGUGAGCGAGCACUUUCGAUAAAUGACACCCGCAAAUUUUCUUUAUAUAAUAUAACGGGACCCCACUUUUUAAACCGCCAAAGUAUUUCACGAGCAUAUCUUACCCAUCUAUAUUUAUAACCAAAACAAGAACUUGUUAUACAACUACUCUCACUAACCAACCUUGAACUUAUAAAUAGUAUCACAGGGGAAAAACCCCAAGUCUCAACGAAAAGAAAU